CGUAACGGGGGCGGCUACGACUGUGGGGACGCACGGAUCCGAACAGCUGACAGAUCCGGCCGCGCGCCUUGCCCCGCCCCCCCGGCAGCGCCGGAGCCCCAGACGGAGCCUUGGACUCGUGCCCUCCGUGCGGCCUGGAGUCUGUUCCUCAGUCUGCACCUGCGCUUUCGGCUGUCCCCGGCCUGGUUGUUUCAGGUGUCUUGAGGGCAUUUCUUCAGAAAGGGCUUUCCUAGGACUCGUCACCUCUUCCUAGGACUCGUCACCUCUUCCUAGGACUCGUCACCUCUGGGAAUGGGCAUUGAGGCUAGAUGGGCGGCACGUUUGUAGGCAUGCUCGAAGACCCAGCGGAUAGACAAAGCUGUGGCAUAUGGGUCUUACCCCAUCAUGAGGAAAGCCGGCUGGAAAUCGGGUCCAUUUCAAGGUGCUAUAUCUCAGAACAGCACUUGUGACAAAGAAGCCAUUGCAGUAGCCACUGCCAAGACUUGAGUGUAGCCAUGACUGAACCCCACAGGGUCCAGUUCACCUCUCUCCCAGGCCCUCUGAAUCCUACAUUUCUGAAGAAACCUCGAAAAGAGGAAAUUGGGGGAGCAGAGCAGCACCAGGACUCUGAACCAGCUGCAGCAGCUGUUCGAAUCACACUUACCCUCUUUGAACCAGAUCAUAAGCGCUGUCCAGAGUUCUUCUACCCAGAGCUAGUGAAGAAUACACGUGGAAAAGUGAAAGGUCUUCAAGUUGGAGACAAGAAGAAAGAUGUCUUGGACCCUUUCAAUGAUGAAGAAAAGGAAAGGCAUAAGGUAGAAGCUCUUGCCCGGAAAUUUGAAGAAAAAUAUGGUGGAAAAAAACGUAGGAAAGACAGAAUACAGGAUUUAAUUGACAUGGGUUAUGGGUAUGAUGAAUCCGAUUCCUUCAUCGAUAACUCUGAAGCAUAUGAUGAGCUUGUUCCUGCUUCUCUGACUACAAAAUAUGGAGGAUUUUAUAUUAACUCGGGAACACUGCAGUUCAGACAAGCAUCAGAAUCUGAGGAUGACUUCAUUAAAGAAAAGAAGAAGAAAUCUCCUAAGAAGCGGAAGUUGAAAGAAGGUGGUGAGAAGAUAAAGAAGAAGAAAAAAGAUGACUCUUAUGACAAGGAGAAGAAAUCGAAAAAGUCCAAGUUUCCCAAAGCCGGCUUCACAGCACUGAAUGCCAGUAAGGAAAAGAAGAAAAAGAAAUAUUCUGGAGCUCUAAGUGUUAAGGAAAUGUUAAAGAAAUUUCAGAAGGAGAAAGAGGCCCAGAAGAAGAGGGAUGAGGAACAUAAGCCAAUAUCAGUGUCACCUGCUGAAACUCAGAGUACACGGGAAGUGGAAAGCAUGCCAGAUCCCUUGCUCUCGUUCUUUGGCUCUGCUUCUGACAAUGACCUGCUUCAGGCAGCCACUGCCAUGGACUCACUGACUGAUCUGGACUUAGAACAGCUCCUCAGCGAGUCUCCAGAAGGAAGUCCAUUUCAUGAUGUGGAUGAUGAAAGUGAUUCUCUUGGGGUGGGAUUGGACCAAGAAUUCAAACAACCCCCUUCUUUGCCAGAAGGCUUGCCAGUGUCCCUCGAAAAGCGUAUUAAGGAACUGGCUCAGAUAUUACUGUCUAAUGUGAAUCAGGCUGCCAGAGCUGCAGAGGGAGAGAGCAAACAGAGAUUCUUCACCCAGGAUAUUAAUGGCAUCCUGCUAGACAUAGAGGUGCAGUCUCGGGAGCUGAAUAGCCAGAUCCGUUCUGGGGUGUAUGCCUAUCUUGCUUCAUUCCUGCCCUGCAGCAAGGAUACCCUGGUCAAACGUGCUCGCAGACUUCAUCUCUACGAGCAGGGAGGGCGUCUGAAAGAACCUCUGCAGAAACUUAAGGAAGCUAUUGGCAGAGCAAUGCCAGAGCAGAUGGCCAAAUACCAAGAAGAGUGCCAGGCACAUACGCAAGCAAAGUUUGCUAAGAUGCUGGAGGAAGAGAAAGACAAGGAUCAGAGAGAACGUAUUUGUUCUGAUGAGGAGGAAGAUGAAGAGAAAGGGGGUAAACGCAUCAUGGGACCCAGGAAGAAAUUCCACUGGAAUGAUGAAAUCAGGGAGUUGCUCUGCCAUGUGGUAAAGAUGAAACUGGAUGGCUAUGAGUUGGAGAGGAACAAGGCCCAGUCCUGGGAAGAUUAUGUGAAAGCUUUUCUGGAUGCUGAAGUGAAACCUCUCUGGCCCAAGGGCUGGAUGCAGGCCAGGACUCUAUUUAAGGAAAGUAGGCGAGGACAUGGACACCUGACUUCAAUCUUGGCCAAGAAGAAAGUCAUGGCUGCUGCCAAGGUCAAAGUGAAGGAUUCUUCCACCAAACCUGAUAAAAAGGUAUCAGUUUCAUCGGGACAAUCCAGUGGCUCCAUUACUUUGUCUUCAGAGCAGCAUCAGGGAAUGGGUAUGAGCAUUGGUGCUCCAGUCAGGGAGUUGUCAUCUCUGGGUACUUCUCCAUCCAGCAAUAUUGCUAAUCCUGCUUCUUUUAACCUGGAGGACUCACUGGAUGAGGACUUAAUUCAUAAUCCAGCCUCUUCAUUGGAAGCAGUGUCUAAGGAACUGGCUGCAUUAAACAGCAGAACAAGUGGAAGUCCUGAAUUCAUUCUUCAUGCACCCCCAAAGACUCCUACAGACAAAAUAACAGGUCUUACAAGUUCUGAGGAAAAAAGAAAUUUUCCUAAGUCCAAUUCUUCUGCUCCAUCACCUGCUAGCUCACUACAGUCACCUCUCAAUUUCUUGGCUGAACAGGCACUGGCACUGGGGCAGUCUUCUCAGGAGAAAAAACCAGAUAAUUGUAGUUACAAAGAGCUCUCUUGCCAGGCUUCUCCCAGUAAAACCUUGUCCGAAGCACACCAGUCUAAACUUAAGCACCAUAAUUUGCCACGGACAUCUCAUGGAUCACAAACAUCACCUCUGGUGCCCACUCCCCAAGUUAAAGUUUUUCACUCAAGUAGUCAGCAGCAGAAAAGCUUCACACCUCCAGCUCCAUUUGUCAAUAAGCUCCAGAGCCCAAAGGCUGCCUCCCCUCUGUCCCAACGAUCCCUUCUUCAACAGGUCAAGACUUCGACCAAAGCUCCAAGCUUCCACUCUUCAGCACCUCCUUCUUCGGGUAGCAACCCAUCUUCUAGUAAUACUCAUAAGAGCCCUGGCUCCUCUACAACUUCUUUGGGUUAUACAGGGAAGCAUUCAUCCAGUUCUUCAGGACAAUCAUACAAGUCUCCCUUUGUUGCUGGCUCUAUCUCUAAACAUGGGGUUUCUUCUAGCAGUUCUUCAUCUGGAGCAUCUUCAGUUCAGAGCUCUGCAUCUGGAAGCUCACUCUCUGGUAUACAGGCUUCCUCUUCUAGCCAGCCUUCCAGCCGUCCAGUACAAAGUUCUACAUUGAAGAAACCACCAGUUUCCCAAAAGCUGACUUUAGUGGCACCUCCUGGUGGCCCAAAUGGAGAUUCUAGUGGUGGGACACAGGGGGUGGCCAAAUUAUUGACCUCUUCCCUUAAGCCAGCCGUGGUUAGUAGUGCAACAUCAUCUACCUCCUUGCCGAAAGGAACAAGUGGAGCUGUACUGCUAACCAGCUCCUCUUCCUUAAGUGUACUGUCACCAUCCUAUAAGUCCAGUAGUUCUAAACUGUCCGGAGGCCUGAACUCAACACCACUGGGGAUUUUAUCUCCUCUCCACACUUUUCCUCUCCAUGUGAUCUCCUUUAGUGCAGACUCGUCUCCCAAAGCAGGAGUCUCCAAGGAUGCCAUUGUUACAGGCCCUGCCCCUGGAACUUUCCACCAUGGCCUAAGUCACAGUCUUCUGGCUGGCUUGCACUCCAGCCCGCACCAUGCAGCGCCUCUCCCACACUCUGCCUUGUCUACCCAUAUUCCGCAGAGUUUGCCAGUAGAACAGAAGGGGAGGCAGUGCACUAUCCCCAUAGGGGCCAGUAAGGUCAUGGCAAAUCUCCUAAGGCCUGUCUGCAAAUACCAUCUAUACUUCAUCUGUUAAGAGCUUUCUGUGCCUAGGUUUAAUAAGAGGUGACAUUCCUAAUGACUCUUUAUCCUCUUCCUGAUCCCUUAAGAUGCUUCUCAGCUUCAUGGGAAAGGGACCAAUGUGCAACAGCGGAAAUUGUGACAUCUGCAGAAGAAAAGCUAAUUUAGAACAAGGCACAACCUGAAUGAGUAGGUCUUGAAGACUGGAUAUUGACUGUAUUCUUCUUUCUGCCAACUGUGUUUCUUCUAGCAGCUGGAGAAAGAGUGAGCUCUGAGUUUCUUGGCACUUCUAACAUGCCUCGGAGUUAGUGGGAGCUUCGUGCUCUUUUAGGGAUGCUUAUGGUGCUCUGUGCUUCACAACCAUGUCAUGUGACAGUGAUUGAAGUGGCAGAUACUAAAAAGGAGAAAAUGCUGGACUUGGGGUAUGAGAGUAUAUGUGUGUAAUGACUCCAUUAAGGUGGCAGAUCAUUUUUUAUCUAUAUUUUAAAUCUGCCAAGAACCUCUGUAUACAGUUAACCAUACCUCAUGACCGUCCACAAAAUGGUGGUUUGUUCCAGCUACUGUAGGAUCACUGCCUCUGGAUUGGGACAGUUAUGGAUGGUAUCCUCAUUUUUAAAUUGUAUUCUCAACAAGAAGAAACCCAUGCUGGACCAUAAUGGGAGGAAAUUUAGCUUUGUCUCUUUGUGACUAUAUAAAGAAGAUCUGAUACGCUCAUUGUGCAAAGAGAGAUGGAGGGAAGGGGUCAAUUUCCCUUCUGAACAUGAGAAUGAAGCUCUUUAUAGAAAAGACCUCUGCAGAUUGCAUUGGAACAAUUGUAAUAGGAUUUUCAAAAUUAUUUUUUUGGCUCAAUUUACAUUAUUACCAUUAAAUGCAUUGGAUAGAAUGGGACUGUUCUUCACAUGUCACCUGUAUAGGAAGACAUAAUUCCAGUGCCUUUAUGGUGGAGCAAAAUUUAAUAAUAACACAUCCAUUUUAGCCCUCUACCUGCUCCUGAAAAGAGAUUUUUUUAAAAAAAAAAUUCUGUAUUUAAGACAUAUCCGUUUAUAUUUAAUUGAGCUUUUCAUGAUUGCACAUUGAAAGCUGCACUGUCCUGACUUGAAGGUGAUUUGGUUCCUGAAAGCUUGGUUCCAAAUCCAGGAAGAGCACCAGUUCUUUCAGCAUAUAUAUAUAUAUAUAUGGGUUCUAGGGCCCAGAAGCCAUUCUUGAUCAGAAUUUUCAUCUCUGUGGGUAAACGUGAGUUCAGAGUCACUGAUAUACAUUCCAUUUUUUUUUGUUCCUAGAAAUCAGCAGUCAUAGAACUUCAAUAAAAGGCUUCGUUAGUGUUCAUUUAAUGGACACAGGCUUCAAAAUCCUGGAGACUCUCCAGGUAAUUGAUUGGACUAUGCAUUAACUUUAAGGGUAAUAUGCAGUUAGGUUUGGAGAGUCAAUCAAAGGCCAGAUGGUUAGGCACCAGCUAGAACUGGGUAUAUAGCUAGAAGAGCAGUUCCCAAAUUGCCAACCUGUUCACACUUAAUUACUAUCUGUUUUGCAAGAAUUUUAAAAGUGCUUUCUUAUUCCUGUGAAAUUUGUGCUACAAGGUAUGUUUGAACUGGCUACUCAGACUGAGUUACAAGUCAGAUAAGUUCAGUGUGAACAGCAUUAUCUGUGGCACUGAAAUUGAUUGUACACAUUUUGUGAAAACACUAAGUUGUUUCCAGGUUUCCUUUAUUUAGAUUCAUUCUUAAAGCUUCCAAAUUACAGUGUACAAACUAUCAAUAAUUCAUCCUUUGUUCUGGGAAAGGCUUGAGGGCCUUCCCAAAUUUGCAUUUAGGAACAACAGACCUUCCCUCAGCUGCACUGGUAGGCCUCUGCUCAUACUUUUAUUUUAUUUGCUUUGGUCAAACCCAAGACACCUUUCAAAUUCAAGCUAAGCGACUCCUUAAGAUCACUUUAUUAUAUUUUUUUUAAUUGAAACUUGUAUUUCCAGUUUGUUUACAGAAUAUUCCUAGAUAGUAGCAAAAGAGCCAAAGAUGAGAUUUGUAUUGCUGAGCUCAGAACAGGGCAGUUAUCAGUAGACUCUGAGGAAAUGGGAUUCUCCAGAAUUCCCUUCCCAUGAGCUCUCCCAGGUACCAGUUCCACUCCCUCUCUUUGCUUUCCUGCCAGUGCUCCCUCUGUACCACAUACCAUUGAGUUUGUAGCUGGAGCAGAAUACCCUCAUUUUAGGAAUCUAGUGAUGCCUCUUGCCUCAGGGAAAUGUUUCUUUGAUGGGGAUUCUGUGGGAUUUCUUUUUCUUGUUUAUGCUUUACUUGUGGUAAUGAACGAGUGAAUGAAUUAAACAGAGCCAUGGCAAGGCAGAGCUACAGAUUGACACUGUAGCAGAAGGAUGGAAAAUGGAUGGAACAUCCCAGGCCAUGUGUCUUGGGUGUAGCAGCUGUAGAUGUUUCCUUUGGUGAGGGGAGUCUCUGAGCACUUACUGGGUAUGGCAGUUUCUUUAGUGUAAAAGGGGCUGCAGCUUUUGUGCAGGGACUGUUGGUAUUUGGGGUGGUGGGGAAAUUGUUAAUCUUGUAUAAAGCAACUCAAUAAAUUGUUUCAAAGUUUCCAAAA